CCCAGAAAACCUAGAUGAAACCCUUAACCUAAAACCUUAAAACCAUAAACCUAAAAAAAUCCUAAGCCCUAAACCUUAACCUAAAACCCUAAAUCCUAAACCUAAAACACUAGGAAAACCUAAACCCUAAACCUUACAAGACUCUAAAUCCUAUAAACCCUAAAAAUCAUUUAAAACCACCACAAAACACUAAGCUCUAAACUCUAAAUCCUAAAAAACUAUAAGCC
rnacentral:lncRNA from 1 species